ACGGGAGGCAGCAGUGGGGAAUAUUGGGCAAUGGGCGCAAGCCUGACCCAGCAACGCCGCGUGAAGGAAGAAGGCUUUCGGGUUGUAAACUUCUUUGACAGGGGAAGAGCAGAAGACGGUACCCUGAAAACAAGCCACGGCUAACUACGUGCCAGCAGCCGCGGUAAUACGUAGGGAGCAAGCGUUAUCCGGAUUUACUGGGUGUAAAGGGCGUGUAGGCGGGACAUCAAGUCAGAUGUGAAAGCACGAGGCUCAACUUCGUGUCUGCAUUUGAAACUGACGUUCUUGAGUGUUGGAGAGGCUAACGGAACUCCUAGUGUAGCGGUGAAAUGCGUAGAUAUUAGGAAGAACACCAGUGGCGAAGGCGGUUAGCUGGACAAUAACUGACGCUGAGGCGCGAAAGCGUGGGUAGCAAACAGGAUUAGAUACCCUGGUA
rnacentral:rRNA from 1 species